AUUGAACGAUGGCGGCAGGCCUAACACAUGCAAGUCGAACGAGUGGCGGACGGGUGAGUAAUGUCUGGGAAACUGCCCGAUGGAGGGGGAUAACUACUGGCACCGGUAGCUAAUACCGCAUACCAUUGGAUGUGCACUGGUGGGAUUAGCUAGUAGGUGGGGUAACGGCUCACCUAGGCGACGAUCCCUAGCUGGUCUGAGAGGAUGACCAGCCACACUGGAACUGAGAAACGGUCCAGACUCCGACGGGAGGCAGAAGUGGUGAAUGUUGCACAAUGGGCGCAAGCCUGAUGCUGCCAGGCCGCGUGUAUGAAGAAGGCCGUCGGGUUGUAAAGUACUUUCAGCGAGGAGGCGUUACUCGCAGAAGAAGCACCGGCUAACUCCGUGCCAGCAGCCGCGGUAAUAC
rnacentral:rRNA from 1 species